rnacentral:rRNA from 1 species
GACGAACGCUGGCGGCGUGCCUAAUACAUGCAAGUGGGACGCAAGGGAACACACUGUGCUUGCACACCGUGUUUUCUUGAGUCGCGAACGGGUGAGUAACGCGUAGGUAACCUGCCUAUUAGCGGGGGAUAACUAUUGGAAACGAUAGCUAAUACCGCAUAAUAUUAAUUAUUGCAUGAUAAUUGAUUGAAAGAUGCAAGCGCAUCACUAGUAGAUGGACCUGCGUUGUAUUAGCUAGUUGGUAAGGUAAGAGCUUACCAAGGCGACGAUACAUAGCCGACCUGAGAGGGUGAUCGGCCACACUGGGACUGAGACACGGCCCAGACUCCUACGGGAGGCAGCAGUAGGGAAUCUUCGGCAAUGGACGAAAGUCUGACCGAGCAACGCCGCGUGAGUGAAGAAGGUUUUCGGAUCGUAAAGCUCUGUUGUAAGUCAAGAACGUGUGUGAGAGUGGAAAGUCACACAGUGACGGAGCUACCAGAA